GACGUAGGGCGCGAGCGUUGUCCGGAUUUAUUGGGCGUAAAGAGCUCGUAGGCGGCUUGUCGCGUCGAAUGUGAAAUCUCAGGGCUCAACUCUGACAUUGCAUUCGAUACGGGCAGGCUCGAGUUCGGUAGGGGAGACUGGAAUUCCUGGUGUAGGCGGUGAAAAUGCGCAGAUAUCAGGAGGAACACCCGGUGGCGAAAGGGCGGGGUCUCUGGGGCCAACAACUGACGCUG
rnacentral:rRNA from 1 species